rnacentral:sRNA from 1 species
ACCCAUCGGACAGCGAUCUCCUCCUCCCAAAGCUGUUCGAUAAGCGAUCGGCAACACUCCUCCUCCCAGUUGCCGAUCAAGUUUUAAGCCCGACGGAUCCUCCCCCGUCGGGCUUUUCAU